rnacentral:misc_RNA from 1 species
GGUGGUGCUACUGGCGUGGGAGUGCUUGAGAAAAGGAAGAAGCACAAGAAAUAAAAGGAAGAUAGAGAAGAUACCAACAAGAAGUAGAAGCAUGAUUUUGCCAUGCAAGGCAUAGUUCCUGCCAUGUGAGAGGAGAAGCUCUGGUAAUUGUUGUUGUUGAUUAUUAGCCGGAGAAAUUGCUGGUGAGACUUUCUUCAUACCUUUUUCAGCUUUUUUAAUUUGCUG